AUUUGACAUGUAACAAGCACCGAACAUGUAAUAUGAAAUGAUUGAAAUUAAAACUAAUAGAAGUUAUAUGAUUUUAAAACAUAGUUUUCUUUACUCUUUCAGAUUGACAACCAAAAUGACUUUUCAUAUUCCAUCACUGAGAAAGAAACAUGAUGUUUGAUGAACCAGUGCACAGAUGGAAAAUAUGUUUGAAGUAGAUCAAUGCAAAAUUCCUGUUGAUAAGACUUUAAGUUGGGACAUUUUGGUAUUUAAUUUUUAUCAACCACAGGAGACUACAUCUAAUUAAUUCAUUUAAUUAUAUAAUUUAAGUUCAACACUCCACUAGCAAAUAUCAUGCUAAAUACUCAUGUUGAUAGUCCUGUAAAGUUGUUUAUUAAAAAAUUUGUUUUUUUAACUUACUGAUUAGUAACAUGGUUACCCGUUAUGUAUAUUAUGUGAACAUUUGUUAUGUGAAUUACUAAGGUAAAGUUGGUAUUUGGUGUAUAAAUUAAUGUUUUUUUCCAUGAAAUGUCCUUGCUAGAAAAGUUUGGGUUACAAUCAUGACAGUACUUAAUAUAAAUGUAUACAGCAGCUUAUCAUUCUAUUAUUAUAAAUUGACAAUAAUUCUAUAAAGUUUAUGUGGCAUACUAUUAAUGCUAUUUCAACUUGUUUAUAUGAACAUUAAUAAAUGUACAUUGAAAAAAUAAGGAAUAUUCAAUUGCUUACUUCUGAAUAAUUUGAUAAUAAUGUGUAAUAAAAAAUAUCUGCAUUAUAAUUUUAUAUAACAUAAUUAUAAUUAUGCUCUGAGAUCAUUACAUACUCUUCGCAUAUUUAUAUACUUUCCAUAACAUAGUUUAAUGAAUAUGUUAUUCAAUUCAAUAAUAAACUAUGUACAAGUUUU